GUGCUUGCUUCGGCAGCACAUGUACUAAAUUUGGCACAAUACAGAGGUUAGAAAGGCCCCUGCACAGGAUGACAUGCAAAUGUGUGAAGUGUUCCAUAUUUUU
ensembl:snRNA U6 U6 spliceosomal RNA